rnacentral:lncRNA from 1 species
AAUUUUUAUAAAGAAAAUUGAUUUUAGAUAUAUGCAACAAAAGUAUUGAUAGUAUAUUAGGAGUGUGUUUUACUUCUUAAGAUGAUUCUUACAAAAAAAAAAGAUUCUUUACUUAAAAUCAAUAGAAAGUGGACCAAGACAUAUUAAAUUAUAUUUUUGAAAUUUUUCGGCUUAUUAGAACAUAAAUAUUAUAAUACUGAUGUAAACUAAACAAUGCAUCUUAACAAUCUAGAUUUUUACUUUUAUUAUUAUGUUCCAUGGGCCGUCUAGCUUCUAUUGAAAUUUAUUGAUUUUAUUUUACAGUGUGAAGAAAAUUGUUAAUACUCAUAUUAACUGAUCCAACAAAAUGCACAGUCUCAAAGUUGUAUUUUAUAAGGAUAAAAUUCAGCUUGUAAGUUUUUUGGGGGUUUGUCAAAAUUCAUCAACCAUCUCAAUUAAUUGUAGAUUAUCAAGUUUAAGUCAAGCUUUGAAACAUUUAAAAUUUAAGAUAUAUUACUUUAUGAAAUGGCUUUCUGAAAAUUACUUUUUGAAAAACUUGUAGUAAAUUUAGUGUUGGAUUUGGUAUUAUUGAAAAUAGCAAUUUCAUAUCUAAUGAUUAUCUAUAAUAAAAGUGUUUCAAUGACAUUCAUAUAGAAGAAUACUAAAUCAACCCACAUAUGUCUGAAAUUGACCUACCUUCGUUCUUAUCAUAAUGGACCAUGUCAUAUAUUCCUCAUCAAUCCAAAGAAGAUCACCCUUAGAUUGUAAUAAAAUUACUUUCAGUGUUUAUUAAAUAAGUUUUGAAGCUAACUUUACAUCAAAGCAUUGGAGUUGUAAUAUUCUACCCCCAAAAUGAGUUGAAAUAUCCACAAAGCCCUCAACUAAUUGCCAACAUUUGUGAAUGAGGAAAACAAUUCCAAAGAUGCAAAAUUGAGGAAUCAUAUAUGAAUAUAUGACAUAAUACAAGAUGAUAAGAGCAAAGAGGGGUCAAUUUAAGAUUUAUUUGAGUUAAUUCAAUAUUACCCUUUCUAUAUAUACAUAUAUAUAAUUGGUGAAUUGUUUUUUGCAAUAAUAUAUAAUAUAUUAAUCGUAUUUAAAUAACUGAUUUUAUAUACAUUUCUUUUUUUAAUAUAAGUUGGAAAAAAAUCUUAAUUAUUUGUAUCUUGUUGAGUAACAUAGGUGUAUAAAUAUUGUUAUUGCAUGUUUAUUUUUUCUUUAGGUUUUUUAUAAAUGAUGAAAAAAAACUGAAGAUUUUGCAAUAAUAUUUUAGUUUUAGAAAAAUUAGAUUAACCUCUAAAUAUUUGUAAUUUUUUUUAAUUAAUUAGCUUAUAAAAAUCAUGAUAUUUUUGUUGUAUAUCUUGAAGGAGAUAAGGGUUUCUUUAUGACAUUUAUACAAUGCAACAUGCAAUAAAUGUUGCUUAUCACAUGCAUACAUGUUAUUGGGACUUUUUAUAAUUUGAAUGGUAAAAUCUUCCUUUAGUAUAAUUAUCCCUUUCUAUUAUUAUGUACAUCUCAAAAAGUUAUCUUUGACUUAUUUUAAAAAAUUAUAAGCAAUACAUAAUUUUAUUCUGAAUUUAUAUAUAUAUAUAUAUAUAUAUAUAUAUUGCAUGAAAUUUGAUGUUAACAACAUUAUUAGAGGAGCAUAAAUAAAUCUUUAUGUAAUAUGUAUAUAUUUGGAUUUCUCAAUGCAUCCUAUAUCACCUCAAUGCCAUUUUAAAAUACCACACAAUUGUUAUGUUUUUGAUUUGACUAAAUGUAAAACUAUGUGACUUUGAUGGGAGCAUAAUGGUCCACCAUGACUCAACUUAUCACAAUUUAAUUUAAAUUAAUUUAAUCUUUUUUUCAUUUUUUUCAUUUUUGAUAGGUUACAGCAAAGAUCUGCAUGAAAAUCUAGAAUAUUUUUGCAAACUUGCAAGUCAAGGUAGUGUUUAAAUUUAGUAACUCGUUGUGUAAACUGUGAUUUCUACCAAAAAAUAUAAACUCGUUGGCAAUGUGAUGAAUGUCUUUGGUAACAAAUGAAUAUUUAAAAGUUGGCCAUCAGCUUGUAAAUAUGAUUCAAUGAUAUUUGUGAAUUGAUCAGAUCAAUGUGUCUCAAUAAGCGCAUAACUUUACUUACACAAUAGCCACAAAUAAUAUAGAUUUGUUUUCAAGAACACUCUCAAAACAUUAUUGUUAUGAUUUAUGAUCUCAAAAAACAAGUAUGAAACAUUUUUUUAAAAGAAGAAGAAGAAGAAGAAGACUUUGGCUCUUUUUUAAAAUAAUAUUUAUGACAUUUAGUUGCACUAAUAAUGGUUGAUGGUAAGCUCUUAUGGUUGCUUGCACUACAACAUCAUAGUCCUUGCUCAUUUUUCCAUGUGGUUUCAAACUUG